ACCCGGGUUGCGGACAGUGUCUGGUGGGUAGUUUGACUGGGGCGGUCUCCUCCUAAAGAGUAACGGAGGAGCACGAAGGUUGGCUAAUCCUGGUCGGACAUCAGGAGGUUAGUGCAAUGGCAUAAGCCAGCUUGACUGCGAGCGUGACGGCGCGAGCAGGUGCGAAAGCAGGUCAUAGUGAUCCGGUGGUUCUGAAUGGAAGGGCCAUCGCUCAACGGAUAAAAGGUACUCCGGGGAUAACAGGCUGAUACCGCCCAAGAGUUCAUAUCGACGGCGGUGUUUGGCACCUCGAUGUCGGCUCAUCACAUCCUGGGGCUGAAGUAGGUCCCAAGGGUAUGGCUGUUCGCCAUUUAAAGUGGUACGCGAGCUGGGUUUAGAACGUCGUGAGACAGUUCGGUCCCUAUCUGCCGUGGGCGCUGGAGAACUGAGGGGGGCUGCUCCUAGUACGAGAGGACCGGAGUGGACGCAUCACUGGUGUUCGGGUUGUCAUGCCAAUGGCACUGCCCGGUAGCUAAAUGCGGAAGAGAUAAGUGCUGAAAGCAUCUAAGCACGAAACUUGCCCCGAGAUGAGUUCUCCCUGAGACUUAGAGUCUCCUGAAGGAACGUUGAAGACGACGACGUUGAUAGGCCGGGUGUGUAAGCGCAGCGAUGCGUUGAGCUAACCGGUACUAAUGAACCGUGAGGCUUAACCUU
rnacentral:rRNA from 1 species